rnacentral:rRNA from 1 species
CCUACGGGUGGCUGCAGUGGGGAAUAUUGCACAAUGGGGGAAACCCUGAUGCAGCGACGCCGCGUGAGUGAUGAAGUAUUUCGUUACGUAAAGCUCUAUCAGCAGGGAAGAAAAUGACGGUAUCUGAGUAAUAAGCACCGGCUAACUACGUGCCAGCAGCCGCGGUAAUACGUAGGGGGCAAGCGUUAUCCGGAUUUACUGGGUGUAAAGGGAGCGUAGACGGUGUGGCAAGUCAGGUGUGAAAUGCUGCGGCUUAACUGCGGAACUGCUUUGGAAACUGGCGUACUAGAGUGUGGGAGGGGUAAGUGGAAUUCCUGGUGUAGCGGUGAAAUGCGUAGAGAUCAGGAGGAACACUCAUGGCGAAGGCGGCUUACUGGACCGUAACUGACGUUGAGGCUCGAAAGCGUGGGGAGCAAACAGGAUUAGAUACCCGAGUAGUC